CCUAUAUAUGUUUCACUCUACUAGAAUUGUAUUUAUGAAGCCUGUAAUACAAGAAUCAAUUAAUGCACAGUGUAACAAGAUGCCUGAAAUGCCUUGAAAUUCCAUAUACAUGCAAACACUAGUAGUUUAACCUGCAUUGUUAUCUCACGUAAUAUAUAAAAAGAGGAUGUUCCAUGCUGGUGUUUAAAUACCUUGUAUAUCAUUUGUUAAUAUGCUCUAAUUCCCUGUUUACUUGCCUAAUAUUGAAUACCUGCAUUGCACAAGUUGAUACUAAACCAC